rnacentral:rRNA from 1 species
UUGGAGGGCAAGUCUGGUGCCAGCAGCCGCGGUAAUUCCAGCUCCAAUAGCGUAUAUUAAAGUUGUUGCAGUUAAAAAGCUCGUAGUUGAAUUUCGGGAUCAAUGGAUUGGUCAUGCCGUUGGUAUGUACUGAUUUUAUUGAUUCUCACCUUCUAAAGAAUCAUAAUGCCAUUAAUUUGGUGUUGUGAGGAAUUAGGACUGUUACCUUGAAAAAAUUAGAGUGUUUAAAGCAGGCUUACGCUUGAAUACAUUAGCAUGGAAUAACGAAAUAGGACAUCGCAUUCUAUUUUGUUGGUUUCUAGGAUCGAUGUAAUGAUUAAUAGGGAUAGUUGGGGGCAUUAGUAUUCAAUUGUCAGAGGUGAAAUUCUUGGAUUUAUUGAAGACUAACUACUGCGAAAGCAUUUGCCAAGGAUGUUUUCAUUAAUCAAGAACGAAAGUUAGGGGAUCGAAGACGAUCAGAUACCGUCGUAGUCUUAACCAUAAACUAUGCCGACUAGGGAUCGGAUGAUGUUAAUUUUUUAAUGACUCAUUCCGCACCUUACGGGAAAC